ACAGAGGAUGAGAUGGUUGGAUGGCAUCACCAACUCGAUGUACAUGAGUUUGAGCAAGCUCCGGGAGCUAGUAAAGGACAGGGAAGCCUGGCGGACUGCAGUCCAUGGGGUCGCAAAGAGUCUCACACGACUUACGGACUGAACAACAAAGAAUUGGUGAAUACCCUGGGCGGACAGCUCGGAAAUACCCAGCUCCCCCUGGCGGGCUCUGGCGCCUGGCGCUUCGCCGCUUCUCUGCCCCGCCCUCUAGUGCCGCAGGGGUGUCGGCGCUGGGCUGCUCCGCUCUGCACCAGGCUGCCAGGGACGCAUUUUCUACUGUUUCUCAACUUUUCCCUUCCAGUCCUGAGAGUUCUUGCUCAAGUUCUUGUUUCUUGCCAGAAGAGAGUCACCUUUAAUGGACAACAUUGGUCUUGGGCCCUACUUGGAAUAAAAGUGCUUAAAAAACGUAGAACAUCCGGCUGGAAAGAACAUGCCCAUUUGCAGUAACCAGGAUGGGAUCCAGGCCCCUCGACGAGAGCCUCCGAUUCAGCACCGUGGGGGCCGAUGGCGGGCUGUCGGGGAGCCGUAGCCGGGCCGGGGUGCCCCUCUUCACCACCCGGAUGUCAUUCCCAGCUGUCAGGAGGGAGACACCCGGAGACGCCCUCACAGACACCCGGGAACACCCUCACACACCCAGGAACACACAGACACCCGGGAACGCCCUCACGGACACCCGAAAGUAAUGUUUAACCAGCUUAUAUGAGGAAACAGCAACCCACUCGUGUUCUUGCCUGGAGAAUCCCAAGGAUAGAGGAGCCUGGCGGGCUACAGUCCACGGGGUCGAGAGAGUCGGACACGACUGAGUUACUAAACCAUGAACAUCUCGGCGCGCAGUCAAGCUGCUAAGUUAAUUAACCAUCACAGGGAAAAAUUAUUUCACUGAAGAAGUAACAGGACAAAAUAGGGCGGCCAACCAAAGACCCCAAGAAGCCAAGAAGGCGCUUCGGAGAUGCGGCGUCUGUCUGUGGCUCAGAGGUGAGACCCCAGGAAAGGGCAGGGAGGGGCUCGGAACAACCUGAAGGAGGCGGCAAAGAGGGGCCAAAGGGAGCAGUUGGCAGAUGCCCAUCUGAGGGGGAUUCUGGAGAUUAAAAGGUGACUCGUAAGAACGACAAAACUUCCCUGGUGGUCCAGUGGUUAAGAAUCCACCUGCCAGUGCAGAGGACACAGAUUCGAUCCUUGGUCCAGGAAGAUUCCACGUGCCUCAGGGCAAGCCUGAGCGCCGCAACAACUGAAGUCUGUGUGUCCUAGAAUCCAUCCUCUACAACCUGUGCACCACAGCUAGAGAGUAGCUCCCACUCGUGACAACGAGAGAAAGCCCACAUGCUGCAAUGAAGACCCAGUACAGCCAAAAAUAAAAUAAAUAAAUACAUAAAUAAAAGGACCACAAUGUUACAAUAAGAAAGAAAGCUACUUUUUAUUAAAUUAUAGCUGAUUUACAGUAUUGUGUGUGUUAGUUUUGGGUGUACAAAGUGAUUUGGUCAUACAUAUGUAUAUGUUGUUUUUCCUGAUUCUUUCUCGUUAUACUUUACUACAAGAAGUUGAAUGUAGUCCUCUGUUCUAUACAGUAAAACUUUGUUGUUUAUCUCAGAAAGUUACUUUAGUUUCUGAGUUUGGGUGGUGGUGGUGGUGGUGUGAGGACUUUUUGUUUGUUAAGUUUUUGUGUUUAAUUGUGACAACAGAAAAUGGUUGUGAGGAUUUGGGGAAGAAAUACAGAAUAUUCCUGAGGCCAGUUGCUUUAUAAAACCGACCACACAAAAUCUGUUGAUGAAGAAAAAAAGACAUUCUGAUUCCUAUCUGACCGUUUUUAGAUUGGGGCAUGGGGACGAUUAGGGACAGUGCAGGAAAUAACACGGUGUCCACAGAGGAGUGUCCCCUGCCCGUGACCUACAGAUUGCUGCAAACACUCUCUGCAAGUUGCAGGCACAGUUUUGAGUCCCCACAGUGUGGUUCAUGAUGCAAUUUGUAGUCUCAGUUUCUUUUACAAAAUUAUGAUGUUUAAAGCAUCGUGUAAUUAGGUCAGAGG
ensembl:lncRNA